rnacentral:rRNA from 1 species
ACGCUGGCGGCGUGCUUAAGUCAUGCAAGUCGAACGAUGAACCGGCUUCGGUCGGGGAUUAGUGGCGAACGGGUGAGUAACACGUGGGCAAUCACCCCUUCACUCUGGGACAAGCCCUGGAAACGGGGUCUAAUACCGGAUAUGACACGGGGUCGCAUGAUCUCCGUGUGGAAAGCUCCGGCGGUGAAGGAUGAGCCCGCGGCCUAUCAGCUUGUUGGUGAGGUAAUGGCUCACCAAGGCGACGACGGGUAGCCGGCCUGAGAGGGCGACCGGCCACACUGGGACUGAGACACGGCCCAGACUCCUACGGGAGGCAGCAGUGGGGAAUAUUGCACAAUGGGCGAAAGCCUGAUGCAGCGACGCCGCGUGAGGGAUGACGGCCUUCGGGUUGUAAACCUCUUUCAGCAGGGAAGAAGCGAGAGUGACGGUACCUGCAGAAGAAGCGCCGGCUAACUACGUGCCAGCAGCCGCGGUAAUACGUAGGGCGCGAGCGUUGUCCGGAAUUAUUGGGCGUAAAGAGCUCGUAGGCGGCUUGUCGCGUCGGAUGUGAAAGCCCGGGGCUUAACCCCGGGUCUGCAUUCGAUACGGGCAGGCUAGAGUUCGGUAGGGGAGAUCGGAAUUCCUGGUGUAGCGGUGAAAUGCGCAGAUAUCAGGAGGAACACCGGUGGCGAAGGCGGAUCUCUGGGCCGAUACUGACGCUGAGGAGCGAAAGCGUGGGGAGCGAACAGGAUUAGAUACCCUGGUAGUCCACGCCGUAAACGUUGGGAACUAGGUGUGGGCGACAUUCCACGUCGUCCGUGCCGCAGCUAACGCAUUAAGUUCCCCGCCUGGGGAGUACGGCCGCAAGGCUAAAACUCAAACCUAUUGACGGGGGCCCGCACAAGCAGCGGAGCAUGUGGCAAUUUUCGACGCAACGCGAAGAACCUUACCAAGGCUUGACAUACACCGGAAAGCAUUAGAGAUAGUGCCGGGGUUGUGGUCGGUGUACAGGUGGUGCAUGGCUGUCGUCAGCUCGUGUCGUGAGAUGUUGGGUUAAGUCCCGCAACGAGCGCAACCCUUGUUCUGUGUUGCCAGCAUGCCUUUCGGGGUGAUCCCCACUCACAGGAGACUGCCGGGGUCAACUCGGAGGAAGGUGGGGACGACGUCAAGUCAUCAUGCGGGUUAUGUCUUGGGCUGCACACGUGCUACAAUGGCCGGUACAAUGAGCUGCG